rnacentral:rRNA from 1 species
GAUGAACGCUGGCGGCGUGCCUAAUACAUGCAAGUCGAGCGAACGGACGAGGAGCUUGCUCCUCUGAUGUUAGCGGCGGACGGGUGAGUAGCACGUGGAUAACCUACCUAUAAGACUGGGAUAACUUCGGGAAACCGGAGCUAAUACCGGAUAAUAUAUUGAACCGCAUGGUUCAAAAGUGAAAGACGGUCUUGCUGUCACUUAUAGAUGGAUCCGCGCUGCAUUAGCUAGUUGGUAAGGUAACGGCUUACCAAGGCAACGAUGCAUAGCCGACCUGAGAGGGUGAUCGGACACACUGGAACUGAGACACGGCCCAGACACCUACGGGAGGCAGCAGUAGGGAAUCUUCCGCAAUGGGCGAAAGCCUGACGGAGCAACGCCGCGUGAGUGAUGAAGGUCUUCGGAUCGUAAAACUCUGUUAUUAGGGAAGAACAAAUGUGUAAGUACCUGUGCACAUCUUGACGGUACCUAAUCAGAAAGCCACGGCUAACUACGUG